rnacentral:tRNA from 1 species
UCCCUGGUGGCUCAGUGGUAAAGUAUCUGCCUGCAAUGCAGAAGACACAAGUUCAAUCCCUGAUUCAAGAA